rnacentral:rRNA from 1 species
CCCUUAGAUGUCCGGGGCCGCACGCGCGCUACACUGAAGGAAUCAGCGUGGCUUUCUCCCUGACCCGAAAGGGUUGGGAAACCCGUUGAAUCUCCUUCGUGAUAGGGAUUGGGGCUUGAAAUUGUUCCCCAUGAACGAGGAAUUCCCAGUAAGCGCGAGUCAUAAGCUCGCGUUGAUUACGUCCCUGCCCUUUGUACACACCGCCCGUCGCUACUACCGAUUGAAUGGUCCGGUGAAAUCUUCGGAUUGAGACUUUGAUUUCUUCACGGAAAACGCUGUUUUAAAAAGUUGAUUAAACCUUACCAUUUAGAGGAAGGUGAAGUCGUAACA